GGGGGGUGGAGGCUCAGUCUGGGGAUGGCUUCCCAGUUGGCUGCCCUCAACCACGGCCGGGUUCCAGGCUUUGUGGGCCCUAAGCGGGCCCUUGGCUAGAGUAUUGGGACAGGGCGCUGGGAACCUACACCUCCGGAAGCGCGCUGGGAGCCAAUCUCUCGGGGUGCCUGGAAACCCAAGGUGGGCAGAAGAGGAUGGAACCAACACUGCCUCUAGUUUGCAACGUCUAUUAUGAGUGCAGGGAGCCGGCCCCACCCUCCAGGUGUGCAGAAUCUCCCGACCCCACGUCCAGAGCAGAUGCCGACCUCCGAGUCAGGAGUGCACUGGUUCCAUUGGGGCCCUUGGAAAUGUAGACUCCACGCCCCAGUUGCUGAUCUUUAGCCGAGCACUGCAGUUUAACUGGUGCUCCGAGCGAGACUGACUUUGAACCAAGAGCCUGCCUCUGGCAGAGGGCAUCUCCAGAAAUGGGAGUCCAUCUCCAUCCUCAGCUCGGAUUUGCAGAACAUAGGUGAGAGGCCCUUCGCCUGCAGCUGGCCGGACUGCAGCAAGAAGUUCGCGCGCUCCGACGAGCUGGCGCGCCACUACCGCACGCACACGGGCGAGAAGAAGUUCAGCUGCCCCAUCUGCGGCAAGCGCUUCAUGCGCAGCGACCACCUGACCAAGCACGCGCGCCGCCACGCCAACUUCCACCCGGGCAUGCUGCAGCGGCGCGCGGGCGGCUCCCGCACCGGCUCGCUCAGCGACUACAGCCGCUCCGACGCCAGCAGCCCCACCAUCAGCCCGGCCAGCUCGCCCUGAGCCCGGCCGGCCGCAGCAGCACAGCCCCACCCCGCCCCUGUCUCGCCGUGGGUUCCCCACUACAGCCAUGAGCAUGCAGGUGCUCACGUCCUCUGUGACCCCGUCUUUUCCUUUUGUCAUCAGAAAAGAGACAGAACUUGAUGGAGUCCACCACAACCCCCCCCCCUCCAAUUUCUUCACCUCAGGUGUCUAACUCAAUUUGUAAAAAAAAAAAAAACCACAAAAAAAACCAACAAAAAAAUGUUUUUCAAAAAACACCACCCA